AACUUUCAACAACGGAUCUCUUGGUUCUGGCAUCGAUGAAGAACGCAGCGAAAUGCGAUAAGUAAUGUGAAUUGCAGAAUUCAGUGAAUCAUCGAAUCUUUGAACGCACAUUGCGCUCCCUGGUAUUCCGGGGAGCAUGCCUGUUCGAGCGUC
rnacentral:rRNA from 1 species